UACGAAGGGGGCUAGCGUUGCUCGGAAUCACUGGGCGUAAAGCGCACGUAGGCGGACUCUUAAGUCGGUGGUGAAAUCCUGGAGCUCAACUCCAGAACUGCCUUCGAUACUGAGAGUCUCGAGUCCGGGAGAGGUGAGUGGAACUGCGAGUGUAGAGGUGAAAUUCGUAGAUAUUCGCAAGAACACCAGUGGCGAAGGCGGCUCACUGGCCCGGUACUGACGCUGAGGUGCAAAAGCGUGGGGAGCAAACAGG
rnacentral:rRNA from 1 species